rnacentral:rRNA from 1 species
GUACACUCCUACGGGAGGCAGCAGUGGGGAAUUUUGGACAAUGGGCGAAAGCCUGAUCCAGCAAUGCCGCGUGAGUGAAGAAGGCCUUCGGGUUGUAAAGCUCUUUUGUCAGGGAAGAAACGGUGAGAGCUAAUAUCUUUUGCUAAUGACGGUACCUGAAGAAUAAGCACCGGCUAACUACGUGCCAGCAGCCGCGGUAAUACGUAGGGUGCAAGCGUUAAUCGGAAUUACUGGGCGUAAAGCGUGCGCAGGCGGUUUUGUAAGUCUGAUGUGAAAUCCCCGGGCUCAACCUGGGAAUUGCAUUGGAGACUGCAAGGCUAGAAUCUGGCAGAGGGGGGUAGAAUUCCACGUGUAGCAGUGAAAUGCGUAGAUAUGUGGAGGAACACCGAUGGCGAAGGCAGCCCCCUGGGUCAAGAUUGACGCUCAUGCACGAAAGCGUGGGGAGCAAACAGGAUUAGAAACCCGGGUAGUCCCA